rnacentral:rRNA from 1 species
AGUGAACGCUGGCGGUAGGCCUAACACAUGCAAGUCGAACGGCAGCACAGUAAGAGCUUGCUCUUACGGGUGGCGAGUGGCGGACGGGUGAGGAAUACAUCGGACUCUACUUUUUCGUGGGGGAUAACGUAGGGAAACUUACGCUAAUACCGCAUACGACCUACCGGUGAAAGCAGGGGAUCUUCUGACCUUGCGCGAUUGAAUGAGCCGAUGUCGGAUUAGCCAGUUGGCGGGGUAAAGGCCCACCAAGGCGACGAUCCGUAGCUGGUCUGAGAGGAUGAUCAGCCACACUGGAACUGAGACACGGUCCAGAGUCCUACGGGAGGCAGCAGUGGGGAAUAGUGGACAAUGGGCGCAAGCAUGAUCCAGCCAGACCGCGUGGGUGAAGAAGGCCUUCGGGUUGUAAAGCCCUUUUGUUGGGAAAGAAAAGCAGCAGGUUAAUACCCCGCGGUUCUGACGGUACCCAAAGAAUAAGCACCGGCUAACUUCGUG